UGGCAAACGGCGGAGUAAUACGUGAACAACGUGCCCCAAAGACCGGGAUAGUCAUUGGAAACGAUGGGUAAUACCGGAUGUGGUGAUUGAGUCUCAUGAUUUGAUCAUUAAAUGGUUUUUCGCUUUGGGAGCGGUUCACGGCCUAUCAGGUAGAUGGUGGGGUAAUGGCCUACCAUGCCGACGACGGGUAGCGGGUCUGA
rnacentral:rRNA from 1 species